rnacentral:rRNA from 1 species
GACGAACGCUGGCGGCGUGCCUAAUACAUGCAAGUAGGACGCAGUUGCGAACGGGUGAGUAACGCGUAGGUAACUGCCUAUUAGAGGGGGAUAACUAUUGGAAACGAUAGCUAAUACCGCAUACUAGUAGAUGUACCUGGGUUGUAUUAGGUAGUAGGUAGGGUAAUGGCCUACCUAGGCGACGAUAAAUAGCCGACCGGAAAGGGUGAUCGGCCAAAUGGGGACUGAGACACGGCCCAGACUCCUACGGGAGGCAGCAGUGGGGAAUAUUGCACAAUGGACGAAAGCCUGAUGCAGCCAUGCCGCGUGGAUGAAGAAGGCCUUCGGGUUGUAAAGUACUUUCAGCGGGGAGGCGUUACCCACAGAGAAAGCAACGGCUAACUCCGUGCCAGCAGCCGCGGUAAUAC